GGGACACGUGGUAUCCUGUCUGAAUAUGGGGGGACCAUCCUCCAAGGCUAAAUACUCCUGACUGACCGAUAGUGAACCAGUACCGUGAGGGAAAGGCGAAAAGAACCCCGGCGAGGGGAGUGAAAAAGAACCUGAAACCGUGUACGUACAAGCAGUGGGAGCCUCUUAAUGGGGUGACUGCGUACCUUUUGUAUAAUGGGUCAGCGACUUAUAUUCUGUAGCAAGGUUAACCGAAUAGGGGAGCCGAAGGGAAACCGAGUCUUAACUGGGCGUUAAGUUGCAGGGUAUAGACCCGAAACCCGGUGAUCUAGCCAUGGGCAGGUUGAAGGUUGGGUAACACUAACUGGAGGACCGAACCGACUAAUGUUGAAAAAUUAGCGGAUGACUUGUGGCUGGGGGUGAAAGGCCAAUCAAACCGGGAGAUAGCUGGUUCUCCCCGAAAGCUAUUUAGGUAGCGCCUCGUGAAUUCAUCUCCGGGGGUAGAGCACU
rnacentral:rRNA from 1 species